AUAUGUGAUGAUUCAGCUCACAACUUUCUUCAGUUUUCAAAAUUUCUCAGUCAUCAUCUUCUGAAUAUUGUCUGUUCUGAAGUGUCUCUGUUAUCUCUGCAGAAAUCCUAGUAGGAAUAUAUUGGGCCUUCAAACUCUGUUCUUUAUGCCUCUUAAUAUUUAUUUGUUUUUAUUUUAUUUAUUUUUGGCUGCUCUGGGUCUUGGUUGCUGCGCUCAGGCUUGCUCCAGGUGCAGAGAGUAGGGACCACUCUCUCGUGGUGGUGUCUGGGCUUCUCAAUGUAGUGGCUUCUCUUGCUAUGAAGCAUGGGCUCUGGGGUAUGCAGGCUUCAGUUGUUGUGAUUCAUGGGCUCCAGGGCACAGGCUCAGUACUUGUGGCAUACGGACUUAGUUGCCCCACGGCAUGUGGGAUCUCUCCAGACCAGGGAUAGAACCCGUAUCCCCUGCAUUGAAAAGUGGAUUCUUAUCCACUGUACCACCAAGGAAGUCCAAGAACAAGGUACCUUUUCAUCUUUAUAAAUAUACAUUAAAUUUUUUUUUCUCUACAUCCAGGUUACGUUGUCAAUUAUUGAACUGGAGAAAAAAAAAAAAAAAAACCAGAUGGCUAACUCUCUUCCAAAAGUGUAGCUGUCUGUGAAACCCAGCUAGCCCUGGUGGCUCAGACAGUAAAGAAUCUGCCUGCAAUAUGGGAGGCCUGGGUUCAGUCCCUGGGUUGGGAGGAUCCCCUGGAGAAGGCAAUAGCAACCCACUCCGGUAUCUUGCCUGGAGAAUUCCAUGGACCGAGGAGCCUGGCAGGGUGCAGUUUAUGGGGUCGCAAAGGGUCAGACACAACUAAGUGACUAAGCGCACACUCUAUGCAACAGGAAAACAGUGAAGACAAGGAAGCUUAAACAAGUUUUGUGGAAAUAAUCUGGUUCAAGACACUUCAUAGAGUUAUCUGACUCUCCUUGUUGUAUUAUCAAAAUAUCUGGUUGUCCCACUAUUUGAUGAUGUUAAAUUUGAUCACUUGUUUAAGAUAACCCACCAGAUUUUUCCACUACAAAAGUAAAGUUUAGUGAUUGAUAGGAAAUCUGUGGGGAAGGCAUGUAUGCAACCCUUUCCUCAAUAAUGUUUCAUCUAAUGGUUUUAGCAUUUAUUGAUGAACCUUGCUUGAAUCAAAUAUUCCCUGAGGGUUGCAAAAUAGCAAUUUAGAAUACAGCAUUCUAUUCACAUGUAUUAGCUGUUUUCUUCUAUAAGGAAGAGCUUUUAGGGUAUUGGGUUUUGAAUCCAAAGACCUGAACAAAAACUUUUAACCUGAAUCUAAUGAUGAGGAAAUUAGUUAAAUUCAUAUCAUCUUCUCUGGACUCUUCAAAAGAAGUCAGUGUCUGGGCUGGUGAAUAAUAUUCUUAAGGGACAUAAAAACCUGAGGAAGUGUGUUAGAUCCUGAAUUUUAAAAAAAGACAGAGAGAAAACAGCUAGAAAAGCCAUUUUGAGAGAACUGGGAAAACUUGAAUAUAUUGUGUACAUGAGAUGAUAUUGAAGAA
rnacentral:lncRNA from 1 species